rnacentral:tRNA from 1 species
GGCCAUGGCCCAGAGGGUGAGCAUCUGCCUGGCAUGCCGAACGUCCCGGGUUCAAUUCCCAGCAGCAUCU